rnacentral:rRNA from 1 species
GGGGAAUUUUCCGCAAUGGGCGAAAGCCUGACGGAGCAAUACCGCGUGAGGGAGGAAGGCUCUUGGGUUGUAAACCUCUUUUCUCAGGGAAUAAGAACUGAAGGUACCUGAGGAAUCAGCAUCGGCUAACUCCGUGCCAGCAGCCGCGGUAAUACGGAGGAUGCAAGCGUUAUCCGGAAUGAUUGGGCGUAAAGCGUCCGCAGGUGGUUUAUCAAGUCUGCUGUCAAAGAGUUUGGCUCAACCAAAUAAAGGCAGUGGAAACUGACAGACUGGAGUGCGGUAAGGGCAGAGGGAAUUCCUGGUGUAGCGGUGAAAUGCGUAGAGAUCAGGAAGAACACCGGUGGCGAAAGCGCUCUGCUGGGCCGUAACUGACACUGAGGGACGAAAGCUAGGGGAGCGAAUGGGAUUAGAUACCCCUGUAGUC